AAGGGAUUAGUUAAUCUAUAAUAUUAUCUUGUCAGGAUAAAGUAAUCAUUAUGAUAUCUCUUU
rnacentral:tRNA from 1 species